GCGAAACUGCGAACGGCUCAUUACACCAGUGGCAACGUGCGCGGUGGUCCUUGCUAGUUGGAUAACGCUGGCAACUCCAGUGCUAAUACAUGAUCUCAUCUUCUCUGCACGCCAGCGGGCUUCGGCCUCGGCGAGUCACAGUGAAGGAAUGACCGCACGGCAGACCGCUUCGGCUUCUGAGGCAUCAUCUAGCGUCGGCAGGGUAGUGGCCUGCCGAGGAGUUCACGCCUAACGGAGGAUCAGGGUCCGACUCCGGAGAGUGAGCCUGAGAGACGGCCCACACAUCCAAGGAAGGCAGCAGGCGCGGAAAUUGCCCAAUGCAUCAGUGCGAGGCAGUGACGAGGAAUACCCUGCCAUUCGUGGUUUGGGAAUGGAGGCGGUGUACAUGCCCGCCCGAGUAACAAGUCGAGGGAAAGGUCUGGUGCCAGCAGCCGCGGUAAUUCCAGCUCGACAAGCGUAUACUAACGUUGCUGCAGUUAAAACGUUCGUAGUCGGGCCUGCCGCCUCUUGUAGGCGGCCGCCAUGAGGAAAUUGGAGCGCUCAGCGCCCCGCCAUACAGUUCAGCAUGGGACGGCACCACGACGAUGCGUUGUGCUGGCCUCGUAAUCGUAAUGACAAAUGGGGGUGACUCGUGGGCGUCGGUACCCGCUGGGGACAGGUGAAAUAGGAUGAUCCAGCGGAGACCCCCCGACGCGAAAGCGCU
rnacentral:rRNA from 1 species